GAUAGAACCAGAGGAAGAAAAAUGAAGAAGAAGCAGCGCGUGCGAGGGUCAUUUUUUUAGAGAAAAAUUGGAGAUUAAACUACGUUUAAUCAUGAUUUAAUUAAUCAGCGUGUAUUAAUUUGGUGAUGUUUAAGCAUGGAAACGCUGUAAUCAGCUUAAGCGAGCCAAGUUCUCCUCUACCCUUGCGAUCUAUUUCUAUUUGCGGGAAUGCAAGAAAUGGAGGAAACGGCCAUAUAAAGG